CCUUUCGUGCGGUGGUUUCCUGUUACCGGUCAUUGCUAGGCGUUGGAAGAAUUAGGCUUAAUUGGAGUAACCUGAAUGGCUCGUAUAGCAGGUGUCAACAUACCAGAU
rfam:gamma proteobacterium BDW918 genomic scaffold scaffold00006, whole genome shotgun sequence.